UCCUUGGGUCUACAGAGCGACCUGCUAUUAGCUGUGCCCAUCCCUGAGGAGCAUGCAGCAGCCGGCCAACCGAUUGAGGACGCUAUACAGGCUGCACUGGCAGAGGCCAAUGCUAAAGGCAUUAGAAGAAGAGAUGUGACGCCCCCUUCAUCCUUCAAAAGGUCAACGAAUUUGCCCAGAGGAAAGUCCGUCCUAGCUAGUUACCUUCUCAGAUCAAUACCGUGACACAAGAAACUAUGGUAGAGGGAGAGAAUCAAUCUCAGUGUAAGGUUAGAAAUUGUGGGAAAAAAAGGUAAUGAGCUGACAUAUUGUUGUUCUUAAAAAAUAUAUAUAUAUUAUAUAUAUUUCUCCAUAUAACUUUAUAUGAGGUCCCUUAACCUCAUAUUCCCAAAGAUAUCGCUCAACAUGCAUAAUAGUGUCAGGUUGGGCAGGCAGAUAGCCUGUGCACUGUCUGAACAAAUGCAGAAGAAGAGGACUAUUCCUGGUCUUCACGUAAAAGAGGAAGAGAAAGAUUCUGACUAUCAAAAAUUGUGAGUACUAGUCAUAUGUUCCUCAUCAAAUGCAGGUGAACCCCUCUUAUCUUGUCUUAUAGAGUGCACCACUUUAGUUUUAGCAUGAUGGACAGUGGGUGACAUGCUUGCUGUACAAUACCACUGUGGCUUGUUUAAAAAAAAUCGUAGGUGGUGUGAACGUGGAUUUUAUUGCAAUGGGGAACACAGAGUAGCUUGUGGUACAUAGGCUUACAUCAAACACACUGUACUGUAUACUGUAGGCUUAUGUCUAUAACAUUCAGAUUAUGUUAAUAUAAUGGGUUUAUUUGAUUGAGACAUAACUACUUUUAUAUUUCACAUUUGGACAGACGAAUACUGGAAUUGUUGGCCUUGUUGGCCCUGGUGGAGUAGGAAGGAACCUUGCUGGUUCGUUUUAAUUUCCUGAUCUGCAAAACUUCAACUGGUUAUGAGGAUAUGGUGUACAAAUAUUACAUUGAGUUAAGUUCUUUUGGGAUGUUUUUCCCAACAGACUCUCUGAACAGAAUUGGACAAAGACCUCUGUUCAUCUCAGCCAUUGGAACUGACUCUCACAGUGAUGCUGUACUGAACUACUCUCAGCACAUGUGCACCAGAGGCGUCGCCAGGCUUCAAGAGCAGAGGACCGCAACUUAUUGUGCCGGGAUGACUGAGAACGGUGACCUGAGUCUCGGAUUGGGCGACAGGCAUAACAGCCAGCAAAUCACAGAACAGUAUUCUUGCAGGUGGGAUAACGGCUGGGAUGUUCCCGGGCAGAGACACUCAAAGCUGUGUUAAGAUGGGGCUCCUGGCAACAUGCCUGUCACUGCCCUCCCCACACCCCACCUGCCCAACUCUGACCACAGACUAUAUUGAACCAAACAAUGUCCAACCACCCAAACCCUGGCCUUAACCCACCCUUAUGUGGAUGGAGGAAUGAGGAACAACUAUCUUUUAUUAUGUUGUUUGACCAUCAAAAUAACUUUUCAAUGAUUAGUUUAAAAAACUGUCUACCACAGUGACAGAAUGGUGAUCAUUUGCAUACAUUUUAAAUAAAAUACUUUUAAAUUCUUCUA